UACGUAGGGUGCAAGCGUUGUCCGGAAUUAUUGGGCGUAAAGAGCUCGUAGGCGGUUUGUCGCGUCUGCUGUGAAAACCCGAGGCUCAACCUCGGGCCUGCAGUGGGUACGGGCAGACUAGAGUGCGGUAGGGGGAGAUUGGAAUUCCUGGUGUAGCGGUGGAAUGCGCAGAUAUCAGGAGGAACACCGGUGGCGAAGGCGGUUCUCUGGGCAUGUCCUGACGCUGAGGAGCGAAAGUGUGGGGAGCGAACAGG
rnacentral:rRNA from 1 species